CCUACGGGAGGCAGCAGUGGGGAAUAUUGGACAAUGGGCGCAAGCCUGAUCCAGCCAUACCGCGUGUGUGAAGAAGGCCUUUUGGUUGUAAAGCACUUUAAGCGAGGAGGAGGCUCUUGAGGAUAAUACCCUUGAUGAGUGGACGUUACUCGCAGAAUAAGCACCGGCUAACUCUGUGCCAGCAGCCGCGGUAAUACAGAGGGUGCGAGCGUUAAUCGGAAUUACUGGGCGUAAAGCGCGCGUAGGCGGCUUGUUAAGUCGGAUGUGAAAUCCCCGGGCUCAACCUGGGCACUGCAUUCGAUACUGGCAAGCUAGAGUAUGGGAGAGGAAGGUAGAAUUCCAGGUGUAGCGGUGAAAUGCGUAGAGAUCUGGAGGAAUACCGAUGGCGAAGGCAGCCUUCUGGCCUAAUACUGACGCUGAGGUGCGAAAGCAUGGGGAGCAAACAGGAUUAGAUACCCUGGUAGUCCAUGCCGUAAACGAUGUCAACUAGCCGUUGGGGACCUUGAGUCUUUAGUGGCGCAGCUAACGCGAUAAGUUGACCGCCUGGGGAGUACGGUCGCAAGCUAAAACUCAAAGGAUUGACGG
rnacentral:rRNA from 1 species